rnacentral:rRNA from 1 species
GAAAUGCGUAGAUAUCGGGAGGAACACCCGUGGCGAAGNCGGGCCUUCUGGGCUGUUCCUGACGCUGAAGGCGAAAGCUAGGGGAGCGAACGGGAUUAGAUACCCCGGUAGUCCUAGCUGUAAACGAUGGAUGCUGGGUCUGGGGGGUGUAAAUUCCCUCUGUGCCGAAGCAAACGCGUUAAGCAUCCCGCCUGGGGACUACGGCCGCAAGGCUAAAACUCGAACGAAUUGACGGGGGCCCGCACAAGCAGCGGAGCGUGUGGUUUAAUUCGAUGCUACACGAAGAACCUUACCUGGGUUUGACAUGCACGUGGUAGGGAACCGAAAGGGGACCGACCUUCGGGAGCGUGCACAGGUGCUGCAUGGCUGUCGUCAGCUCGUGCCGUGAGGUGUCGGGUUAAGUCCCGUAACGAGCGCAACCCUUGCCCUUAGUUACAAGUGUCUAAGGGGACUGCCCGGGACAACUGGGAGGAAGGUGGGGAUGACGUCAAGUCAGCAUGGCCUUUAUAUCCAGGGCUACACACACGCUACAAUGGCCAGUACAAUAGGUAGCCAAGUCGUGAGACGGAGCCAAUCCUUAAAGCUGGUCUCAGUUCGAAUUGCAGUCUGCAACUCGACUGCAUGAAGCUGGAGUUGCUAGUAAUCGCAGGUCAGCCAUACUGCGGCGAAUACGUUCCCGGGCCUUGUACACACCGCCCGUCACGUCAUGGAAGCUGGCAACGCCUGAAGCCGGUGAGCUAACCCGAAAGAGGGGCAGCCGUCGAGGGUGGGGCUGGUAACUGGGACGAAGU